GAUGAAGAACGUAGCGAAAUGCGAUAAGUAAUGUGAAUUGCAGAAUUCAGUGAAUCAUCGAAUCUUUGAACGCACAUUGCGCCCCCUGGAAUUCCGGGGGGCAUGCCUGUUCGAGCGUCUCAGGGACGAACCCUCGCGCGGGUGUACGUGCGGUCGUGGCUGCGGUGGCGUGCCCGAGGCGGCGGCCACCGCGCUGGAAUCCAUGGGCGGACGCCUGCCGCGUGGCCGAGCGUGAUAUGACGCAUUGGCGCUCGCACGCGGAGAGGCUGCCAGCCCUGGCCCGUCUGUCGGGCGGGGGAGAGCAAGACACGUGAACUCCUCGAAUCAGGUAGGGAUACCCGCUGAACUUAAGCAUAUCAAUAAGCGGAGGA
rnacentral:misc_RNA from 1 species